AGCACCACAACGGGUGGAGCUUGCGGUUUAAUUGGAUUCAACGCCGGAAAUCUUACCGGGACCGACAGCAAUAUGAAGGCCAGGCUGAAGACUUUGCCGGAUUAGGCUGAGAGGUGGUGCAUGGCCGUCGUCAGUUCGUACUGUGAAGCAUCCUGUUAAGUCAGGCAACGAGCGAGACCCACGCCCACAGUUGCCAGCGUACUCUCUGGAGUGACGGGUACACUGUGGGGACCGCCGCUGCUAAAGCGGAGGAAGGAAUGGGCAACGGUAGGUUAGUAUGCCCCGAAUAUCCCGGGCUACACGCGAGCUACAAUGGUUGGGUACAAUGGGUAUCUACCCGAAAGGGACGGGAAUCUCCUAAAACCAAUCUUAGUUCGGAUUGAGGGCUGCAACUCGCCCUCAUGAAGCUGGAACCCGUAGUAAUCGCGUUUCAACAGAACGCGGUGAAUACGUCCCUGCUCCUU
rnacentral:rRNA from 1 species